GAGGGCGUAGCUCAGUGGUAGAGCACAUGCUUAGCACGCAUGAGGUUCUGGGUUCGAUCCCUAGUACCUCCA
rnacentral:tRNA from 1 species